CCCGCUGUUCAUUCCAAAGUUUCAGUUCUUUGCCGCGGAGAACGCAGCGCCGCGGGCCGGCGGCGAGGAGGAGGAGGAGGACGGAGGCGGCCACGGCCCCGCUCGCCGCCCAGGACGCCGGCUCCGCGCGCAGACCAGCAUCUCGUUCCCUCGCUUCGGUGGUGAUGGACUUUCUGUUGCUCAGCUGCUGUGAGCCAGUUUGGUUCUUGCAACGAUGCAGGCGGUACCUCUCCUUUUGAAGAGGAUUAUAUAUAUAUAUAUAUAAAUAUAUAUAUUCUUUCUUUUUCUUUUUCUUUUUUUUUUUUUUUGGCUGAAAUUGCAGUAACUAGCCUUACCUUUCUACUCUGCGGUAGCGGCGCGGGCUUCGCGGGCCCGGCUACGCUGUCGAUAGCUGCCUAGGAAACACGUGGAAGAGGCAAGAGGCGAAUAUCACGUACGCCAAAAAAAAAAAAAAAUGUCCAACCCACCGCCGCAGACGGCGUUCGCUUUGGCAACCAGAAACCUUUCUCCCGCCGGCGCCAGGCCGGCCGAGCGAUGUAUCUAUGUACAGAAACCUUCCGCAGCUCCAUUUGACCUUCCAGCACACAGCGGCCGGCGGGAGCGAUUCGCAGAGGUGGGCGGGCGAGGAGGCGCUCCUCGUGGUGGGCUUCGGCGGCCGCUUCGUGCUCCGGGAGCUCGCUCCCGAAAUCGGCCCCGUGGCGGAGGCGGCGCGCGGCGGGUCGGGCGGUUCGGCCGCCGUCUGCACGGACACACGCACCUAGAGGGGUGCGCGCGGCGGGCUGGGGUUUGUUUCUUUUUUCUUUACGGUUUGGAUUCGGUAGAAAACGGGCAAAACGUUGGUUGUAUUUUUUGUUGUUGUUGUUGUUAUUUUUUUCCGGAAGGGGGAAAUCCCAACUUGUCGGAGCUUCCAGAUUUCUGUUGCCCCAGAAGGGACGGUUUGAGAGCGCAACUCUAUCAGAGCAUCUGCUGUACAAAAGGCGAUGUAAAUCUUGUAUAG
rnacentral:lncRNA from 1 species